GGCUGGUUAGCUCAGUUGGUUAGAGCUUGGUGCUAGUAAUGCCAAGGUCAUGGGUUCGAUCCUUGUAUUGGCUA